rnacentral:rRNA from 1 species
GACGAACGCUGGCGGCGUGCUUAACACAUGCAAGUCGAACGGAAAGGCCUGCUUUCCCUUGUGGAUUGCGGGUACUCGAGUGGCGAACGGGUGAGUAACACGUGAGUGAUCUGCCCCCAACUUGGGUAUAAGCCUGGGAAACUGGGUCUAAUUCCCGAUAGGACUGCAGGGUGGUGCCUGUGGUGGAAAAUGAUUUUCUAGUGGUUGGGGAUGAGCUCGCGGCCUAUCAGCUUGUUGGUGGGGUAAUGGCCUACCAAGGCGGCGACGGGUAGCCGGCCUGAGAGGGUGGACGGCCACAUUGGGACUGAGAUACGGCCCAGACUCCUACGGGAGGCAGCAGUGGGGAAUAUUGCACAAUGGGCGGAAGCCUGAUGCAGCGACGCCGCGUGGGGGAUGACGGCCUUCGGGUUGUAAACUCCUUUCGACCGCGAGGAAGCCACCUGGUUGGAAGGGUGGUGACGGUAGUGGUAGAAGAAGCACCGGCUAACUACGUG